AAAAAAAGCUAUGCUUUCUUCAAUUGUACUGAUGAAGGUGUGAUUUGUAUGGUGCUGUUUGCGUUUGCUUCUUUCUACAUUUGGUUUGAUUACUUUACAUUUGGUGAAUGUGUGAUUUGUAUGGUGCUGUUUGCGUUUGCUUCUUUCUACAUUUGGUUUGAUUACUUUACAUUUGGUGAAUGUGUUAUUUGUAUGUAUUUAUGUUUGCAUUUUCUUCAAUUGUACUGGUGAAAGUGUGAUUUGUAUGGUGUUGUAUGCAUUUGCAAGUCUUUACGUAUGUAUUUUCUGUAUCAGGAUGUAAUGAACAUAUUCAUAUAGGACCUGUCUUUUUUUUUUAUAUAUACAUCUAUUUGUUUCUCAACCACCUCUUAGGUCAAAGAGUACAUACUGUACACCAAAGAGCCCUACAACUAUGAUCCACAUGUUGCUUCUGAUUGAAUAAGGAUGGCGUCAGCAAAAGCACCGAUCACUUUGUGUGUUUCUUCAAUUGUAUUGGUGAAGGUGUGACUCUAAGGUGUUGUUUGCAUUUGGAAUUGAACUGGGUGUCGAUUUGUCAGAGAAACAAGUCAAUUUAUAGAAGUGUAUUUCAAAAGACCAAGUGAUGGAGGAUCUUCAGUUACAAAUCAGGAUGUUAUACAGUUGAGAAAUAUUGCAAUGUUGCAGCUUCAUGUGAUCUAAUUUGCACUUGUCAUGUCUUCAGAUGUGCAUACCCCAACCAUCUCCGAUUCGCAAGCAAGCGAAACUUUAGAGUUACAAAGGAGGCCUGCAGCUAUUCAGCCUUGGUGGUGGUGGUGGUAAUGGUGGUGAUGAAGACAAGUUCUCAAGUAGAAACUUAAGCACUUUUGACAACAUUAUUAUUCUUUCUCUUCGAGAUUGAUCCUGCAUUGAUUCAGCGUGGCUUUUGAAAAGCAAUUCUACCAUUUUCAUUUGAUCUUAACUAUGGAAAAGGGAUCGUGGUUAUCAUAAUCAUGUGCUCACUUGAAUUAAGUAAUGUCGACCUGGGGUUUAUCCCGUCAUGCGUCUAUGGUCUGUGUACCUGCAUGAAUCUUCCUUCAUAUCCAUGGGAUCGGUACUAGGAAGACCG